GACGAACGCUGGCGGCGUGCUUAACACAUGCAAGUCGAACGAUGAAGCUGGAGCUUGCUCCGGUGGAUUAGUGGCGAACGGGUGAGUAACACGUGAGUAAUCUGCCCUUGACUCUGGGAUAACUGCGGGAAACUGUAGCUAAUACCGGAUACGACACCUUCGGGCAUCCGAUGGGUGUGGAAAGAAUUUCGGUCAAGGAUGAACUCGCGGCCGAUCAGCUAGUUGGUGAGGUAAGGGCUCACCAAGGCGACGACGGGUAGCCGGCCUGAGAGGGUGACCGGCCACACUGGGACUGAGACACGGCCCAGACUCCUACGGGAGGCAGCAGUGGGGAAUAUUGCACAAUGGGCGAAAGCCUGAUGCAGCAACGCCGCGUGAGGGAUGAAGGCCUUCGGGUUGUAAACCUCUUUUAGUUGGGAAGAAGCGAAAGUGACGGUACCAACAGAAAAAGCACCGGCUAACUACGUGCCAGCCGCCGCGGUAA
rnacentral:rRNA from 1 species